UUAGCCAUGCUAGUUGCACGAGUUUAGACUCGUAGCAGAUAGCUCAGUAACACGUGGCCAAACUACCCUGUGGAUCCAAAUAACCUCGGGAAACUGAGGCUAAUCCGGAAUACGGUUCAUUACCUGGAGUGGUGUGAACUUGAAACGUUACGGCGCCAUAGGAUGUGGCUGCGGCCGAUUAGGUAGACGGUGGGGUAACGGCCCACCGUGCCCAUAAUCGGUACGGGUUGUGAGAGCAAGAGCCCGGAGACGGUAUCUGAGACAAGAUACCGGGCCCUACGGGGCGCAGCAGGCGCGAAACCUUUACACUGCACGAUAGUGCGAUAAGGGGACUCCGAGUGCGAGGGCAUACUAUCCUUCGUUUUUCCGAACCGUAGGGGGGUUGAAAAUUAGUGGUUGGCAAAAACCGGGGCCAGCCGCCGCGUAAUUACCGGCAGCACAAGGGAUGACCGCUAUUAUGGGCCUAAAGCGUCCGUAGCUGGCGCGCAAGUCUAUCGGGAAAUCUGUGUGCUUAACACAGAGGCGUCCGGUGGAAACUGUGUGGCUUGGGACCGGAAGAUCCGAAGGGGUACGUCCGGGGUAGGAGUGAAAUCCUAUAAUCCUAGACGGACCACCGGUGGCGAAAGCGCUUCUGAAAGACGGAUCCGACGGUGAGGGACGAAAGCUCGGGUCACGAACCGGAUUAGAUACCCGGGUAGUCCGAGCUGUAACCGAUGUCUGCUAAGUGUGGUACAGGCCACGAGCCUGUACUGAGCUGUAGGGAAGCCGUGAAGCAGACCGCCUGGGAAGUACGUCUGCAAGGAUGAAACUUAAAGGAAUUGGCGGGGGAGCACUACAACCGGAGGAGCCUGCGGUUUAAUUGGACUCAACGCCGGACAUCUCACCAGCAUCGACAAUGUGCAGUGAACGUCAGGUUGAUGACCUUACUGGAGCCAUUGAGAGGAGGUGCAUGGCCGCCGUCAGCUCGUACCGUGAGGCGUCCUGUUAAGUCAGGCAACGAGCGAGACCCGCGUUCCUAAUUGCCAGCAUCACCCUUGUGGUGGAUGGGUACAUUAGGGAGACUGCCAGUGCCAAACUGGAGGAAGGAACGGGCAACGGUAGGUCAGUAUGCCCCGAAUGUGCUGGGCGACACGCGGGCUACAAUGGCCAAGACAGUGGGAUGCAACCCCGAAAGGGGACGCUAAUCUCCGAAACUCGGUCGUAGUUCGGAUUGAGGGCUGAAACUCGCCCUCAUGAAGCUGGAUUCGGUAGUAAUCGCGCCUCAGAAGGGCGCGGUGAAUACGUCCCUGCUCCUUGCACACACCGCCCGUCAAAGCACCCGAGUGGGGUCCGGAUGAGGCCGAGGCAACGUCGGUCGAAUCUCCCUCCGCAAGG
rnacentral:rRNA from 1 species